GAAUGAGAAGGUGUGUCCAAACUUUUGGCCUGUACUGUACAUUUCCCACAUAAUCUCAGAUGACAGAAAACAUGUACAUCAUCGUAUUACCUGCACCUAAAGAAAGCCAGAACUCUCAAAUGUUGAAUUUUGUGUCAAUACAAAAAAAACCCUUGAAUUAAAUGCAGUCUCAAGCUGGAUAAACAAAUAAGGAACUAUCUGAUCAACAGCUUCAUCAACAAGAUUAUAAAUCUGACCAGGUACUUUUACAGUCUUUAAUACUCAUUGUGACUCAUGCAUUGGGGUUUGAUACCCAGCCCCACCGACCACAGCAAGAACCGACAGUGUUUUUAUAAUUUUUCAUUUUCCUCAUCUCCCAAGAUGCCAAACUUAAAUGUCUGACAUUAGCACUUACUUGUCCACAAAAUGCCUCCAGCUUUAUCCACCCCUAGGACACAAAUGUCUGAGGUACAAACCCAGAAAUGCAGAAGUUUGUCAUCUCCUUCUGAAGAAAAUGGCUUCAGCUCAGGCACAGAGAGCAAAGCACAAAGUCAUCUGCACAGACAUGCAGUAGAAUUCCAGUAUGUGUUAAUGAUGAGGAAUAUUUGCAGAAAAAUAGCUUCUGUAGCACUGAGUGGACAGGAUUAGCCUGCUAGCCUAGCUUAACUGUUAUUGUAUGUUGCCAUGCACACUUUGCACUAACUCUUUGACCACCUUCUCUCACUCACCACUGAAGCACUGUCUGGGUUAGCAGUGUGACGUUACCAUGUCUGAAGAUCUAAGAUGUUCAUUUCUGAUUUCGGUCUUUCGGACUUUCCUUUCACCUUUCUGCUCACCUUGAAGUCAUUUUUGGAAUGUGACGUUAAUGUUUAGUUCAAGCUCAAAGACACUCACUUUUCACUGUGGUGAAGGACUGAUUUUUGUUGUCUAGAUGACGUUGACAGAGUUGAGAGCAGUGAUCAGAGUAGGUUUUGUAGACUUAUUAUAGUCCAAAAAAGCAGAUAUGCAAGAGAAACUUGUUUGAUUUUUAAAAGGUUUUAUUUUUUUUAUUUUGUUAUUUUAAUUCAUUUAUUUAUUAAAACUGACAUAAAGUAUGGUUCUUGACUUUUAACAACGAUGGAGCUAUACCUUAGUGACCCAUCCUCAGAAUAUGAAACAAAAACAGCUCCUUAUAAAAGAUAAAAUGUAGUAUCGUAGUCAUAACAUCACAAUUUUUCCCCUGCAAAGCAGGAAUUUCAGUCUGGCUGGGACAGGUUUGUGAUGGAAUGUUUUGGGUGAAUAAAUGACCCGAAAGCAACAAAGACUGAAAAAAUUACAUUUUUAUUAGAAUUUAAUGCAUUUAUUUCCAUCUCAACCAAAUUGCUGUUUCUUUAGGAAAAAUAUUUUGCGUUAAAUCUUUUAGAUCUGUGCUCCAUCCAUAAAUGUGUGUUGUUAUACAUAUGAUUCAUUAUUACAACCAUUUAAAGUUACAGAAAAACAGGAGUUUAAAUGGUUACCUGUUUUUUAUUUACACACAAAUUUGCUUCUUCUGUUCCAUUUGGAAUAAGCUCUUUGUAUAGAUUGUGGUGAAAUAAAAACACAUUCAUAAGUUUCCUGUAACUUUAACUGACUAAACAUCUGCAGAGUUCAUUUAUUUCUGUACCAGAAAGUGGCAUCCAACGUCCAACCAAUAAAACAUGAUGAGUUUUUUAAAAUAAAAGUACAAAUUAAAAGAUAAUUGUUGCAGCUUCAAUAAAAUCUUGAUCAGAUCUUGUGAUUGUCCCACAAAAGUAAAUUCUUUUUGCAGCAAGACAGCAUAAAGACACAACAUGAAACAUGAAACAAACAGUAAAGAACACACUAAGAAAACUGAAGCACAGAACCAACAGAACCACCACCACAAAACCACCUUAAAUUUUAAUUCCUAACCUCCUUCGUCAACCAGGAAUAUUCUGAAAAAUUAACUUUUCCAACUGUUUAAAUCAUUUUCUCCUCCUUUUUUCUUCUUCAUUGGUGGAGUUUGACCCUCUAUCUUCAUGGUAACGUCACAUUGCUGACAUUUGUUCUUCACCUUCUGCCAAACUGCCUCUCGUUCCGUCCGAGGGCAUCUUCUUCAUUGUUGGUGCUACAAACUGCAGGGCUCGGCCCUCACUGUUUUCCAUCCUGUGAUCGCAGAUCUAUACAAAAAAAAAAAAAAAAGCGUUUUUUCUGUCAAUGCUCACACAUCAAGGUGUGAAUAUGUGCGUGUGUGUGUGUGUGUGUGUGUGUGUGUGCGUUUCCCUCCGUCCUGUGACAACGAGAGCUUCAGGUCGUUUAAAGGGUGGCCAGAAAAAAAAUUGACUGUUAAAACAAUAUCUGUUGCAUGAUGGGAAAGUGAGUCUAACCACUUGUCUUUUGCCACGUGAGUGCAGCCUAGCUUACAGCACUACUUGUAGUUAAUAAUUAAAAGGAGCACUAAUGAUGCUAAUAAGUCAUUUUUUAUCACUUAAGUGAAGUGCGAAAAUGUAGAAAAACAUCUCAACUAAGAUGUCUUGGUCUCCCUUUAACCGCCAAGCCUCAGCCCUUUUCAGACAGAACUGAAACAAAUGAAAAGUUGCACUGUUAAAAUUUAAAAAGAGAAAGAGGAAGUCUUUGUAUGUUAUGAAAUUAUUGUGAUAUGUGUUGAGAAAAUACAUUGACAAAUAUUUCUGUAACUUUCUGCUUCAUCCUUGCACUUGGCUGGAGGCUGACUCAGUAGUGUCAGAUUUAUUUUUAUUGGUCAGAAUAAUAAUUCUUGUUUAAAGUAUUCAACAGAGAGUUUAUGAAUAAAGAGAGAAACACUCUGUUAUAUUAAAGUUGUAGUAACUGGAGGGAUUUGGAGAGACUGAACUAGACGUUUAAAGCAACAAUUCACUUGAUGGGCAACUGCAACAAGAAGCACUUCUGUAAAGGCAUCAGUACACCUCUACUUAACUAAUUCGUAUGAGAACUAGACUGGACUAGUUGGUCUUGACUUGGGACUUGUUGGUUUUGACUGUGGACCUGUUGUCUUUACUUGGGACUUGUUCUUGACUUGAUAUGGGAAAAGUGGUCUUAGGACUGUUGGAUGAGACAAAAAGCACUUCAUUUGAACUUGACUCUGUGUCUUGACUUGUUAGUCUUGACUUAAAAUUUGUUGGUUUUGACUCUGGACUUGUUGGUAUUGACUUGGGACUUGGUAAGGGUCUUGUUCUUGACUUGGGAGUUGAUUUUAUUAAUUCUGACAUGGAAAUGGUGGUCUCAGGACUGUUGCGUGAUACAAAAAGCACUUAAUUUGAACUUGACUCUGUAUUUUUGACUUGUUGGUAGUGACUUUGGACUGGGUACGGGACUUGCUCUUGACUUGGGAGUUGAUUUUAUUAUUAAUUCUGACAUGGGAAAGGUGAUCAUAGGACUGUUGGGUGAUACAAACAGCACUUCAUUUGAACUUGACUCUGCAUCUUGACUUGUUGGUUUUGACUUGGAACUUGUUGGUUUGACUCUGGACUUGUUGAUAUUGACUUAGUUGUAUUGACUUGGGACUUAGUAAGGGACUUGUUCUUGACAUGGGAGUCGACUUUAUUCAUACUUCUGACAUGGGAAAGGUGUUCUUUGGUGCUGUUGGGUAAUAUGACAAUCACUUUAUCUGAAUAUGACUCUUGACUGAAUCUUGUCUUGUUCGCAUUAAGCUUGUUGGUUUUGACUUCAUAAUUAAUUCUGACUGGGGAAAGUUGGUCAGCUCCUCCUAACUGUACGAGAUGCAAACAAACAAGUGAGUGAACAUCAGGUUGUUCCGUUUUUCGCACUGAAGAUGUCCUAAGCUGCUCCGUGUGUCAGCAAGUAGGCCAAGCAAUUUGUCAUUUGUUUGAAAAACAGCUCACCCUGGCUCUAUUUUAGCAAAGCUUCACACUCCUCCAACCUAUUUUCAGAGCAACAGCAAGCUGCUUCUGAGGUUUGCUCAGGGCUCGAUACAGCUCUUGGAUGUUGUUAUAGCUUGUAGUAAAUCUGGACAAUUUUUCCCGCUCCAUUCGCCAGACAAAAAGCACUUUGAACUUUACUUGGAGGUUGAUGAUCUUGACUCUAGACUGGACUUGUUUGUCUUAACAUAUUUUUGGCUUGGAACUUGGUGGUUUUGAUGUGGGACUUGUUGGUCUUGACAAGGAACUUGGUAAGAAACUUGAUCUUGACUUUGGAGUUGACUUCAUUCUGACAUUGGAAAGGUGGUCUCAGAUGCUGUUGGAUAAUACGACAGCCACUCUAUUUGAACUUGACCCUUGACUCUGAAUCUUGACUCACUUGCUUUGAUUUGGGACGUGUUGGUUUUGACUUAGAACUUGUUUUUAAUGUGGGACUUGUUGGUCCUGACACCGGUCUUUAUCUCAGAUUUGUUGACUUGAUGAGCUGAUAAGAACUUCAUUUGAAACACACUGAAGCCUUACCCUUGCACGGUCAAAGAAAUGAGAGCAAAAUUAUCUGUCAUGUUGUCCAACAGGUUGCAGUCCUCACUUUCUGACUGGAUUUCUAAUUUCUAACGGUCAGAUUGGCUUUUUAACAUCAGACUUCCACAAUUUGUUUGAAAAGUUGCAGUGAGGUGUGACAUUACGGAAACCUAAGACAUAACACAGAUGCAGUGUAUCUCAGCCCUGAUAUCAAAGUGAAGUAAUGCUUUCAGCGUCUUGUUAGAAAUCUAGAGUUGAUAGAAAAAGUUCAGAGUGAAACCUGAGGUUACUUCUGCAGGAUCUGCUGUGCUAAGCUGGGCAAACUGCAAACUGGAAAUAUAUUGGGCAUAAAAAGUUGUGAGAGCGAUCUAAAACAAACUCAAGAAAGGCUUCAGUGCAAGUCAGCAAUAGGAAGCCUCAGUUUGGACCACUUAACGGGAUAACUGGACAUGUUCUAUUUCCUGGGGACAAUGGAGGUUUGGGAAGUUUGAACAGGGACUUGAAGUCCGGCAGCUUUGUGGGAAUCUACAUUCAAAAGGAGUUUCAAAAAAUUCUUAAAGGGAAGUCGUAAUUGGCAUGAAACCGUAGUUUGGCCCAGUCUGGCUCUUGAACUGGGUAAACUGGGCUACUUGUACUGUGCAGAUGUUUGGAAGGAACUUGAAAGAUGAGCAACACUGUUGAAGUUAAGAUCCAAUCUAGAUCUGGAAAGUCAAAGAUGGGACCCUGGUCCACUAAUGGGCAGGACUGGGCUAAGUGGAUGUUCCCUGCAGAACAGGGUUUGGAAGAAGUCUGUUAGUUCAGCAGCACUGAAAAAGUUAAGUUGUAAAAUAAGUUUGAGGUUAGAGAAAAUCCAUGAUCGCAAGUAGCCCCAGUUUGGCCCUUAAACUGGACUGACUGGGCCAGUUGGAAUUUUCUUUGGAAUCUGUGUGAACUUUCAAAGAGGCUUGGAAGUUCAUCAGCAUAGUGGAUGUCAGAAUAAUAAUUUAAAAAAAGACCAGGAAAUGGUUCAUGGGCAGUCGGAGAUGGCAUGAAGCCCCAGGUUGUCUUACGUCCUGGGCUAUAUGCUCAUGUAGCAACUUAAAUUUAAAAGUCAACAUCUAAAAUGAAUUUGAGAGCCCCAGUGUAUACCUUAAACUGGACUGACAGGGCCAGUUGGGCAUUCCGAAGCAGUUGCUUCAGAAUCAGUGGGAAUAUUUGGAAGAAGCUUGGAAGUUCAUCAGCAUAGUGGAUGUCAGAAUAAUAAUUUAAAAAAAGACCAGGAAAUGGUUCAUGGGCAGUCGGAGAUGGCAUGAAGCCCCAGGUUGUCUUACGUCCUGGGCUAUAUGCUCAUGUAGCAACUUAAAUUUAAAAGUCAACAUCUAAAAUGAAUUUGAGAGCCCCAGUGUAUACCUUAAACUGGACUGACAGGGCCAGUUGGGCAUUCCGAAGCAGUUGCUUCAGAAUCAGUGGGAAUAUUUGGAAGAAGCUUGGAAGGUCAGCAGCACUUAUGAAAGUCCAGAUCUUAAAGUAAAACCAGUCAAUGUGAAAACAAGAAAGCCUAGUUUGGCUUGCUUUAAGUGGAUGAACUGGGCAUGUGGAGUUCCAUGCAGAGUGUUUCACAGCACUCUGAAAGUCCAAAUCUAAAAAGAGUUGGGAAAUGGUUCAGAUCCAGCCAGUGAAGGCGGGAAAACUCCAGUUCGGCCCAGUUUGGACCUGCAGUAGGAACCCUGGUUUGAAAGCAAAGGUGGUGGUGGGAAUCUUUCACUGUGGAGCAAUGUUGCUCAAAAACAAAACCAGAAACGGGUCAGAUAAUCAAAGAUUAAAGGAUCGGGAUUCGGGUAGCGGUGUUUUGACCUUAAAGGAUCAGACUCGAUGACACAGCGUCCUCUGAUGUCACUUCCUGUGCUGUGGUUUUUAAGGGUGCUACAUACAUCACUUUUACUGAUUUGUUUGUUUGAUCUCACUUCAUCUUUAAGUUACAUAAACAUGAUUUGCUGAUUUUAAAAUGAUGCGCAGACCAGCCUUAAGUGUCGUUCAUUUCCUUUUAAUUCAACCACAGGACUCAUCAAAGAUUAUUUCAACAAAACAGUUUACUGCAAAUGUUUUUAUUCAGCUUGUAAACAUGUAGGUUCAGUCGUCCAGGUCAAGAGAUCUCUGAGCGUACAAAGAUUUGUUUUAUUCUGUAAGACGCCUCUUAGCUCUUCUGUACUGACUGGUGGGGAGUCAGAGAGCCUUUUUCCACCUGGUAUUAACAAGCAUUCACCUCUUAUCUAUCAUGCAUUUCCAACUUGUAUUCAGAUUUUGUUAGUGGCUACAUCAUUUACACUAGAAAGUCAUAAGCCCCUGCAAACAUUUACAUCCACAGUCUGACAAGACACGUUAGCAUUUGUGUGGGUGCAGCUGGAGAUAUUGCUGUCAGCAGAAUCCAGCAUGUCUCCUUCCAUAGGACAAAACGAUGGAUGGUAAUGCAACACUUUGGAAGCAUUAGCAUUUACUUCAAAAAAGAUAUGUGGUCAAAUGCUUCUGACAACCUCGGCAAGUAGUUUGAGUGAUCUGAUCAUAAGACCUCUUGGUGGUUGUUUAUGCUUGUAUUUAGCGUCGUCCACUUGUGAUCGGAUCACCCAAAACAUGUAUUAUUACCAGGUGUCAACAGGCUCUCAGACAUUUUAACCUCUUUUUGGCUGAGGGUCAUUGAGGUCAACAGAGUCUUUACAGUCACAUUAAUCAAAUCAACUUGAUUGACUUAGCUGUUAUGACUCUCACUUGACUGUCAUGUGACCUGAUUGAGCCUCAGAUGAAGUCAACAUGUGAAUGACCCAGACGGGUUGAAAGUGCAGAGCACUCACUAACACAUCAGAUUUAGAGAAUAAAAUAGAUUCAGUUCAGUACCCUUUGAUUUAAUUUUAUUGUUCGCAAAGUAAAAUUAAAAAAAAAACAUUUUUAAGCACUUCUGUUGUUCUAAAAAAAACCCAAAACAAAUUAAUUAAAUGAGUUGAUGAAGUCUGAUGAGCUGUUUAAAGAAUCAACAGUUCUGGUGACGUGAUGACGAGACAUUUGUACGACCGAGCUGAUCCUGGUCAAACACAGCAGUGAGUGCGAUGUGCGAUGAUGGUUAACUCCCAGUCUAAACUGAAAGUAGCUUUGUUUCCUGUCAGAAACCCACUCAAAGUGUUUAUUUAAUUUCCUGACUUCAGUUACUAAAUUCUCAUUUUCAAACUGAUUUUGAGACAUUUGAUGUUCUGAAUCAGGGAUGUCAGUUUUGGUUCAUUUUGUGCCAGCCCGAUAUCUAUUAACCGGCAACUACCAGUUAAUUUCCUUUUAUUACAGUGCUCCAUUGACUCAGUGAGCUUUAGUGCUUUAGUUUAAAGCGCUAACCAUUUAGAGGUGAUGAAAUUUUAAUGUUAUGUAAUUUAAAUGUCUGGCCUUUUAUUUUCUGUUGGCUUUGCUGACUGACAACUGGCUAGCUGUGUAAACAUGCAGAAACUGCCCACCCUCAGGUCUUUACUGCUUAGCUAACAUUAGCCUUGACUGCUCUACACUGCGCACUACCCGAAUUGGGUGGGGGCCAAGUUAGCGAGUUCCACUGCUCACUCUUGAUUACCACUUGUAAUGCCAUCCUGUAGUGGGAUGACAUUGUUGUGGAAAUAUUGUGGUCAGCCUCCGGUCUCCCCCCAGGUAGCAGCAUCAUUUUGAGCCGCGAAACCCCUUUAGCAUUGUUGACUAUGUUAGCUCCACUAACUGUGUUGAUGCUGCUAACUAUGCUAACAGAGCUUAAGCCCAGUUCAGAUCAAAGAUUUGCAAUGAGACAAAAGUGUUUUAGAACGCUGCAGAGAAAAGUUGCAGCAGUGUUAACUGGCAGGUCUGAGCUCGACACUGAUGAUUUUACCUGCAACUCAGCUGGUCAAAUCGCCGGCAGCUGGUUUUAGAAUGUAAAGCACGUCACCUGUUUGAACAGCCAGUCAGCUUGUAGUGAAGUCUGUUGGUCAAGUCAAAAUGAUCGCUGAUGGCAUGUUCGCUUGCUGCAGCAGGUGCUUCAUCCCUGCCUAGCCCUCUGCUUCCAUCCUCACGAUGUGCCGGUGUUGGAUGGUGGGUCGCUGCAGCAUCUCACUGUAUGUGUUUAUGCCGCGCCCACACACACACAUUUACUGACUUAUUAAUUGGCGCUGGUUAUUUAUAUUUAUGUGGAGUAUUAAUUAUGAAUUCAGUCCAUCUGAUGCCGGUUUUGUGUCUGUUUUUUAUCGUUUCAUCACUGUUACAAAUGCAACUGUAGCCACUAUCUUACUAUCACUAUUCUCAUUCAUAUUUUAAGAAGUCACAAAUUAUAUUCAGCCACAAAAUAAGCCUGAAAAGCUGUAAAUCCUAACAAGUACAGAGAGUUGUUGCAUAGAGAUCAUAUACCGUCUCAUUUAGUUGCCAUGGUGUGAACCAGCAGGUUUUUACAAUGUUGCAGAACGGCUGAUUGCAAGUAGUUGCUUGUUUCAACUCAUCUCAUCGUGAAUCUUAGAGUGAUGUUAAACGGGGGUUGUGGCUCAAAAUCUGGAGGGUGAGCACAAUGUUUCCAUGGCACCGCUGUUGGGUUGGGACCACAUUAGUAAUUGCAGAAUGAGCGUUUCCGAUAGUUAACUCCCACCUGAACCACCUGGUGCGCAGUGCGGAGCAGCCAAGGCUACCUAACCAGUGGAGACCGGAGAGUGGGAAGUGGGCAGCUGACUGUCUGUCUCCCACCAGAUCCGGGUGGAGCAAAGUGCAGUAAACUAAAGAGUAGCAGAAUUAACCUACAGACAGGCAUGCAGAAGCUUCUCAAAAAAUUUCUUGGUGGUUAACCAACUGACAGUUAACCGUUGACAUCCCUGUUCAGAGUAUUCAACAGAAUACACCAGAUUAUGUUGAGAUGAGAAGGAAUCAUUAGAUUUAUUUAGCCCUGACCUUUUUUUUGCUACCUCUCGGACUCGGGAACUCUCGGUAAUGAAGUCCUCUCAGCAGUCCCUAGAUGCGAACCGGAGUGGGAUUCAGACAUCAAACAGCAGCAUUCAUGCUGCCAUUUUAUGUUCCCUUUGUGCAAAUAAGAGAAUCACAAUCAAGUAGUUUAUCCAUCGUUUCUACUAAAUCUAAAAAAAAAGAUUUUCAUAUUGAUAAUUUUUUUUGUUCUCGUCUGCCUUUGCUCUUUCAUACAGUUGUACGGCUUGUUGUUGUGCAGAUUUUUUAUUAUUAUUAUUCUUACUGUUGCUAUGAAGAUUUUUUCAGAGUAUCUUUGCUUUUUCAAAGACGUUGUCAGCUUCCUGCAUGGUUUUCCCUGUGACUGUCUAUUUUUGUAUAUUACUAACGCUAAAAGUUCAUUUUUGUCAGCUGGCGUUUGUGUUUUUUGUUUUUGUUUUUACUUUGUUUUUUGUUUUUUUGGCACUUUACUCAAUUAAAUUAAAGGCUGGGGCGUCAACAUCAGUCCAAAAAAAAAAAAAACCUCCCCUGUUUGCCUUUUGGUUUGGAAGCCGCAAUAAUAAUUAGUGAAAUGCACCUUUACUUUACCUGUGUGAGUUACUGCUUCAACCCCACUUUGUUUUCCUGGAGCCUGUUUCAUUUAUUUGUUUGUUUGUUUGUUCUGAAGAGAAACAGUAAAGUGAUGGAGGACAGAAGCCAGAACAUUAAUGUGAAUCUAUUUUCCUACGCUGACUGACUGGAAUAAAGGAAGUGAUGUUCACUGGCAGAAAACAGA